GAUGGGAAACAGGUUAAUAUUCCUGUACUUGGUGUUACUGCGAAGGGGGGACGGAGAAGGCUAUGUUAGCCGGGCGACGGUUGUCCCGGUUUAAGCAUGUAGGCUGAUUGUCCAGGCAAAUCCGGAUAAUCAAGGCUGAGGUGUGAUGACGAGGCACUACGGUGCUGAAGUAACAAAUGCCCUGCUUCCAGGAAAAGCCUCUAAGCAUCAGGUAACAUUAAAUCGUACCCCAAACCGACACAGGUGGUCAGGUAGAGAAUACCAAGGCGCUUGAGAGAACUCGGGUGAAGGAACUAGGCAAAAUGGUGCCGUAACUUCGGGAGAAGGCACGCUGGUGUGUAGGUGAAGUCCCUGCGGAUGGAGCUGAGACCAGUCGAAGAUACCAGCUGGCUGCAACUGUUUAUUAAAAACACAGCACUGUGCAAACACGAAAGUGGACGUAUACGGUGUGACGCCUGCCCGGUGCCGGAAGGUUAAUUGAUGGGGUUAUCCGUAAGGAGAAGCUCUUGAUCGAAGCCCCGGUAAACGGCGGCCGUAACUAUAACGGUCCUAAGGUAGCGAAAUUCCUUGUCGGGUAAGUUCCGACCUGCACGAAUGGCGUAAUGAUGGCCAGGCUGUCUCCACCCGAGACUCAGUGAAAUUGAACUCGCUGUGAAGAUGCAGUGUACCCGCGGCAAGACGGAAAGACCCCGUGAACCUUUACUAUAGCUUGACACUGAACAUUGAGCCUUGAUGUGUAGGAUAGGUGGGAGGCUUUGAAGCGUGGACGCCAGUCUGCGUGGAGCCAACCUUGAAAUACCACCCUUUAAUGUUUGAUGUUCUAACGUUGGCCCCUGACCGGGGUUGCGGACAGUGUCUGGUGGGUAGUUUGACUGGGGCGGUCUCCUCCCAAAGCGUAACGGAGGAGCACGAAGGUUAGCUAAUCCUGGUCGGACAUCAGGAGGUUAGUGCAAUGGCAUAAGCUAGCUUGACUGCGAGCGUGACGGCGCGAGCAGGUGCGAAAGCAGGUCAUAGUGAUCCGGUGGUUCUGAAUGGAAGGGCCAUCGCUCAACGGAUAAAAGGUACUCCGGGGAUAACAGGCUGAUACCGCCCAAGAGUUCAUAUCGACGGCGGUGUUUGGCACCUCGAUGUCGGCUCAUCACAUCCUGGGGCUGAAGUAGGUCCCAAGGGUAUGGCUGUUCGCCAUUUAAAGUGGUACGCGAGCUGGGUUUAGAACGUCGUGAGACAGUUCGGUCCCUAUCUGCCGUGGGCGCUGGAGAAUUGAGGGGGGCUGCUCCUAGUACGAGAGGACCGGAGUGGACGCAUCACUGGUGUUCGGGUUGUCAUGCCAAUGGCACUGCCCGGUAGCUAAAUGCGGAAGAGAUAAGUGCUGAAAGCAUCUAAGCACGAAACUUGCCCCGAGAUGAGUUCUCCCUGAGACUUUAAGUCUCCUGAAGGAACGUUGAAGACGACGACGUUGAUAGGCCGGGUGUGUAAGCGCAGCGAUGCGUUGAGCUAACCGGUACUAAUGAACCGUGAGGCUUAACCUU
rnacentral:rRNA from 1 species